rnacentral:lncRNA from 1 species
CAAAAUCUUAAAUUAAUCCAUUAAGUAAAAAGGAAAAAGAAAAAAAAAUUCUUAUAGCAACAUCUACUCUCGACAACUUUCAAUUCACUCGUGGAUCCAAGUAAUCCGGCAGCUCGCUUCUCAAAGGUUUAUAAAAUUUCUCAUCAGUGUACAGAAAGCUUCAAAACAGAUCCACAAGAUCGUUCCCAGAGAAAUAUGAACAAUAUCUAACAGUGAAAAAUGAACUAGGCCAGUGCACUUUGGUGAUUAUAAUAAUUAGAAAAGCUAUUAAAGAACAAGCAAAGCGCACAUAGAGUGAUGGUGUUUCACAGUAAAUAUGAGAGCCAUGUCCGCUCAAGAUACAACCAAUCCAAUCCAAUAACUAUCUAGAUUUAUUCGAAUUUUUUGUAAAUGAAUGAAGUAGAUUGCAAAAAGAAAAUUUUGCUUUGUUGUAAUAGGGAAGAAUGCAAGGUUUUCCUCACACCUCUCUUGCAAAAUAAACUACCCUCUAAUAAGUCAUUUCUAAAGCAAGAAUAUCAGGGCUACCCGAUACAUUUGUAAAUUCCCAAUAUACUCCCGUAAUAACAGAAAUGCCCUCUGUGGUCAAGGUGAUACACAGUCCAACAUAUAUGUUAUAGAUCACAAGCCACAAGGAUUAAAAACUAGAGGAAUUUGGAAAAAUCAAAGUUGUGUGAGGAGUUUUAAAAAAAAAAAAAGAGCAAAAAAAAUAAAAUAAAAUGAAGAUAUAUAACUGGUACGGCAUGGACUUAUUUUCAUCUUCUACACCAGGCAAUAAGGCAACUUUUGUGGCACCUUUCAUCAACAGAUAGCAGUUUAUGAGGAAACUCUUUACAGAAUUUACCAACAUAAAUCUUAGAGAGUAAGGAAGGAACUGAAUGUACCAUUCACUUAGCUACUUUAAUUUUUCCAAAAAAGAAGGUUGGGAUGGGAGAGCUGAAAUAUUCAUAAUGGUAACCAAAGCAACCAUUGAUCAUGCUCAUAGUGUUAACAUAUCACAUUAGAGACAUCGACAUCGACAUCAACAUCAACAUCAACAUCAACAUCAACAUCAACAUCGACAUAUCAUCAAAUGGAAUAUAGAAAGUAAUAACGUGCAAAUAUUAAGUAAAGUCUAAAGCUAAAAACACUAAAUUCCUGGUUGAUAUACAAUCUACUUAGCAAAUAAUAGAAGAAAUCAAUCUAGAAACACUAAUCAAGUUAGGUUCCCAAUACUAGCUAUGACCGGUGAAUUUGUCAUAAGUUGUUUAGUAUGAACAUGAUCAGUUGUCAAAAUCCAUCCAAAUUCUCCUUUCUAUUUUCCAAGUCUCAAAUGGAAAAAUACACAAGAACUGAAGGGAAAACUAUCAAAAAGUUUUGCACAAGCAUCAAGUGGAAAAGAGAGACAAAUAUCAGCCAGGCAAUAACUGUAUGAAUAAAGGGACAAACCUUGAUGGCAGAAGAAGACCUCUGUUAUCAGUUAUACCUUCAGAAACACCAACUUCAAUACCAUUUUGCAGCAUGCCAUAAACUUUAAGGCUUCCAGUGACUCCAUGUCUUUUCGAAUAUUUGGGAAGACUAGUUUUUGGGUGGAUCGUGGAUAUGCAGUGUAUGG